CCUACGGGAGGCAGCAGUGGGGAAUUUUGGACAAUGGGCGAAAGCCUGAUCCAGCCAUGCCGCGUGCAGGAUGAAGGCCUUCGGGUUGUAAACUGCUUUUGUACGGAACGAAAAGCCUCUUUCUAAUAAAGAGAGGUCAUGACGGUACCGUAAGAAUAAGCACCGGCUAACUACGUGCCAGCAGCCGCGGUAA
rnacentral:rRNA from 1 species